AUGGCGCCUGCUGCUGCAGCAACGAAGCAAGAUGGGGAGCUGAGGAUCCUCUGCAUCGACGGUGGUGGCAUCCGCGGCCUCAUCCCGGCCAAGAUCCUGGAGUACCUCGAAGCCGAGCUCCAGAGGAUUGAGGGGUCGUCGACGGCGAGGCUCGCCGACUACUUCGACUACAUCGUCGGCACCAGCACAGGCGCCCUCGUCACCACCAUGCUGGCCGGCCCCGACAAGGACAACCGCCCGCUCUGCACGGCCAAGGAGAUCAUCGACCUCUACCUCGAAGAGGGUGCCAGAAUCUUCAGAAACGAGCACAAUGCGACAUGGGCUCAGGUGGUGCUGGAGGCCGUGCUCCUCUACAUCAAGUACUAUGAUGGCGACAACGAGACCCUGCGGUCCUUGCACGACAUGCUCGCACUCGGUUUGGCCAUCGAGCCCUUGCUCCGCCCCAUCCUCGACGCGCUGAUCCACGCCAACGGUGGCGGCAUGCAGCAGCUAGCCGCAGCACCCCAUGACCCUGACGAUGCAGGGAGCAACAGCAACGAGGCGCCGCCGGCGAAUAUGGAGGACUACAUCCAGGAACAUGCUGGAGCCAUCCUGCAGGCGAUGUGCCGUGCGCAGGGUCUGGUGCUGGACUCGACGCCGUUCCAGGAGGGCAUCAAGGAGUUCGCGGAGGGCCUGCGCAGGACGCUGCUGAACCCGGAUUUCGUCAGGUACGCGCUGCUCCGCCCCAAGUACGACGGCGAGGGGCUCCGCAAGGUGGUCAGAGGGAAACUCGGCGACCGCGAGCUUAAGGAAACCGUCACCAACGUCGUCGUGCCAACGUUCGACAUCAAGCGCAAUCAGCCUGUGGUCUUCUCCACCUCUAAGGCGCGACAGGAUCGGGUGAUGAACCCCUACCUCUCGGACAUUUGCAUCGCCGCAACUGCCGCACCAACAUUCUUCCCUGCCCACAAGUUCAACAUUAUAAACUUCUGUCCACUAAAUUUCGAAUUCGAGGAGUUUAACCUAAUUGACGCCGGCGUCUUCGCGAACAAUCCGACCACGGUGGCGAUGAACGAGGUUUGGAGGAUGAUCGACAGGGGCGAGCACCUGCCGGUGGAGGGGUUAUCGGCCAUGGACUGCAGCAAGCUGCGCAUCCUCUCCGUCGGCACCGGCGUGGUGAACCACUCCUACACGGCCGACGAGUGCAACUGGUGGGGUGUCCUCCCGUGGAUGUACAACGUCCGCAACAAAACCCAGCCGCUGGUCGACACGCUCAUGUACGCCACCGGCUCCCUCGUCGACUACAACGCCGCCCUGCUCUUCAAGUCCCAGGGCUACGAGGACCACUACUUGCGCAUCCAGGAGGAUCACCUGGACCCUUCUCUUGGAGCCAUGGACGACACCAGCAGCAUGGAGAAGCUCAUCGAGACCGGGGAGAACCUCCUGGACAGGCAGGUCUACCGGACGGACUGCGAGACGAGGGAGUACCGGCCGGUGAAGGGCGCCGGAACCAAUAAGGAGGCGCUCACCAAGCUCGCUGAGCAGCUGAUCGCAGAGAGGCGCCGAAGGGAGGCUACUGCGCCGCCGAUGUUGCUGAUGAGCAUCACCGAGAUUACCACCGUCGUCGAGCCAAGGCCCAAAAGGCUCAAGCCUACCUACGCCAUGCAGUAA
rnacentral:rRNA from 1 species